UGUCAUUUUGACAUUCGUGUCUCACAAUUUUUCGUAUUGCUUGCUUGCUUGGUGAUGCUAUUUUUAAAUAAACGAAAGUAAAGAUUUAUCACUAGAAGUUCACAUAAUAAUGACUUCGUUUAGUCAGCUUUGUCGUCUCAAUAAUAUUAUAACAAAUAGUUAUAGAUCCAUUUUGUAUGGAAGGAAUACAUGGAUAAAUCAGCAGGUAUGCACCUACACCAGAAAAUCGGCGGAAGAACGCCUUGGAAUCGAAAAGCCAAAGCGUCCGUUGACCCCGUUUUUUAAAUUCAUGGCACAACUACGGCCAGCUCUACUGGCCAAAAAUCCAGGAAUUACUUCCAAAGAGGCCAUAGCGUGGAGCUCAAAACACUGGCAGGAGCUUGAUUCAGAGACCAAGUCACAAAUGGUUAAAGAAUAUGAAAAAGACUUUGAAGACUACAAAAAAAUAAAAGAAAUGUAUGAAAAAUCACUAACAGACCAACAGAAAGAAGACAUUAAGAAACUUAAAGAAGAAUUGGCUGCUGCCAAAGAAAAGAGGAAAUUAAAGGCUGAAUACAAAGAACUAGGUCGCCCUAAGAAGCCAAUGUCUUCCUAUUUCCUAUUUGUUCAAUCAAAGAAAGAUCAAUUCACUGGAAAACACAUGAAAGAAUUUCAGGAAAAGGUGAAAGAGGAUUGGUUAAAAUUACCAGGAACUGAAAGAGUUAAAUUUGAAAAGCAGGCCCUAGAUCUCAUGAAUAAGUACAAGAAAGACAUGGAAGCCUGGGAGUUAAGAAUGUUAGGCAUAGGACGUUCUGACCUGGUACGAGCAAGGCCUGUGCGUGAGAAGAAGGCAAAGAGCGAAAAGAGCAAAGAAUAGGAACUCGGGUGCUCUGAUGAUUUAACUGACUCAAACAAUAUCUCUGAUCUUAACAGUAAGAACAAUGUUGAUCUACAAACUAGUUUUAGUUUUAAAUCGGGCGUUAAUUUUAAUAGUCAGCAACAGCCAGAAAAUCAGAAAAAAGUUAGCAUAGAGCAAAAAAAGCUAAAGUCAGAAAAGCAUCAGAGCACGGGUGACCUAAAAGAAGCUCAAUCAGAUAAAGUUGAGCCUGAAAACCAGUCCACUAACAAAGAGAAGACUUUUAUUUGAUGCUGUGUGGAUGGCAGAAGGGGAUCAAUGAUAAACAACAACUCUGUUUUAAAGACCCUUUUUUAUUUCAAUUGUUACAAAAUAUAAUUACAAUAAACCUUUUAUUUACAAUUGA